rnacentral:rRNA from 1 species
GGGUCAAUAUGUCGGUCGUGCUUCGGUACGUACUGGUAUCAUUGGUUUCUCCUUUCUGACGAACCAUGAUGUCAUUAAUUUGGUGUUAUGGGGAGUUAGGACUGUUACUUUGAAAAAAUUAGAGUGCUUAAAGCAGGCUAUUGCCUGAAUACAUUAGCAUGGAAUAAUGAAAUAGGACGUUCGAACCUAUUUUGUUGGUUUCUAGGAUCAACGUA